CGUAAACAAACAACUAAAUAGGUACAUAACACUUAGCAUGUCUUGAGGCCUUAUACCUUUUUUGUCCAGGCCUUGGGUGAAUUAUGUUGCCUCUGCUGUACCUCUAGCCAUUGGACAAGGGCAAGGCUAGUGGUAAGAGCAGCUGACUGUCUCUUUACAGCUCACACUCUCAGUCACAGCGGAGGACAUGGACCUAACCGGAAUAGGUGACCAUAUUGCAGCUAAUGGCAGGGUCUGACUCUCUAUGUAGUGUUGAGAAGGGCUUCUACGAUGGUGUCUUCCUGGAGGAAGACGAUGACGUCAUCCUUCGUCAAACAUGUCCAUACAAAGACCAAUCAUGUAAUUAUUCUUACAGUUUCAAUAGCUUUAAUGUCACUCAGUUUAGAACUUUUUUCUUUCAUUCCUCUCACCUCGUUGUCUAGGGUUACAUUGAAAGGAAAAACCAGCAGACACUAGGCCCUCCAUGGAAUGAGUUUGACACCCCUAAUGUAGACUAACCUACCCGCAGAGCCUACUGCACUAUAUGCCUAUCUGCGAACUGUUGGCUAGAGCGCCCGUGCCAAGACCAGAGGAGGCACAUUUGCUCUUUAAUGCAACAGUUUGUGAAAAAAAAACUAUCGGUAGAGUUGAAAAUGCAAUAGAAACACAUUGAACAUUAGAUUUUUAUUCGGGACAUGAAAACUCAAGCGACGUCAUCACACACUGAUUUUUAUCUGCAACAAGUCGGUUUGGUGGGAAAAUGCACAUAUUUUCUUUCUGCAGAUUUUUAGAAUAUUCACAUGAAAAUCUGUCUGCAAUUGGAUGGAAACCUAGCUGCUGCUAAACGAUAUGAGUGGUGUAGGUAAGUGAUGAAGUGAAAACCUAUAGGAGGAUAGCUCUCUACGAGGUGGGAUGAGCAUGAAAUGACAACAGGCUGUUCAACACUGAGCCAUGCUGACUGACAGAUGGCGUGGAUUGGUACAUGGCAAUUCAGUCCCACAUCAUGUGUUAUCACAUAUUUGGCUAAAUGAUUAUCCAUAGUUGCCUCUUUUGAUCCAGCCACAGCAGUCUGUAAAUGGACUGUUACCUUGGAGACAACAUUAAGAUGCUAAAACUUUUACAUUCCAAUUGAUCUUUGCCGGUGACAUUUUCUCACA